GGUAGUAAGAGAGAGAGAGAGCUCUCUAGGGUCUCUUUUUUAAGGGCACUAAUCCCAUUCAUGAAGGCUUCAUCCACAUGACCUAAUGACCUCUU